UUCAUCUUGUAAGAAGUCUAGCUACCCUUAAUUCAGCAUGCUGGAGAGACCCUGUGGAGAGGGCUCACAGGAAUAGAUGUCUCAGGAGCCUCAGCUGUGACAGUUCCCAGACAUGAGAUGAUGAACCUCAAGUACCACCCCAGACAACAAGGCUGCUUCAUCAGGACACAAACCUGCCUGUACCAGGACCUCUGACCUGUGUGCAGCAGAGACACUGAGGAUACCAUUGGCAUCAAUGUCAAAAGUGACUUCAAUCUGAGGAACAGAAAGAGAAUUAUGGAACUGAGAAGAAUUGACAGAGAUCCUGUGGUGUAGCCCUCUGUAUCGAGGGCUUAUUUGCUUCAUGAGAGCUACGUUAUAUAAAAAACAAAAAUGAGACGGGAAAUACAACUUUGGCCAAAUGACAUUUUCACAUAUUUUAGAAUACUAUAAAAAGAAGGAAAAAAAGAA
rnacentral:lncRNA from 1 species